CCCUUAGAUGUUCUGGGCUGCACGCGCGCUACACUGAUACUUUCAGCGAGUCCACCACCUUGCCUGAGAGGGUGGGGUAACCUCUGGAAAGUGUAUCGUGAUGGGGAUCGAUUAUUGUAAUUAUUAAUCUUCAACGAGGAAUUCCUAGUAAGCAUGUGUCAUCAGCCCGUGCUGAUUACGUCCCUGCCCUUUGUACACACCGCCCGUCGCUCCUACCGAUUUCGAGUGGUCCGGUGAACCUUCUGGACUGAGUUCGCAAGAACUCGGGAAGUUAAGUAAACCUUAUCACUUAGAGGAAGGAGAAGUCGUAACA
rnacentral:rRNA from 1 species